AGAUUGAACGCUGGCGGCAUGCCUUACACAUGCAAGUCGAACGGUAGAGUAGCAAUACUUGAGAGUGGCGAACGGGUGAGUAAUAUAUCGGAACGUGCCCAGUCGUGGGGGAUAACGUAGAGAAAUUUACGCUAAUACCGCAUACGAUCUAAGGAUGAAAGCGGGGGACCGUAAGGCCUCGCGCGAUUGGAGCGGCUGAUAUCAGAUUAGGUUGUUGGUGAGGUAAAAGCUCACCAAGCCGACGAUCUGUAGCUGGUUUGAGAGAACGACCAGCCACACUGGGACUGAGACACGGCCCAGACUCCUACGGGAGGCAGCAGUGGGGAAUUUGGACAAUGGGCGAAAGCCUGAUCCAGCAAUGCCGCGUGCAGGAAGAAGGCCUCGGUGUAAACUGCUCUGUAC
rnacentral:rRNA from 1 species